CCACCUGCUCUCUGGCUGCCGCCCCGCGGCCACACAGAGAUGAUGUUCCUUUCACCUGGCCGAAGCCGGGGUUAGGGUCGGGGUCUGGAUGACCAGCACCACUCACAAACGCAGGCAGCCCCUCUGGGUCCGUGGCUGCCGGGGUCUUAGCUGGUAUUUGGACUAGACCCAGAGCGAAGAGGUGACUGUCGCUUUAACAAACCCUCUGGAAUCUCAGCUGGGACCUGGAAGGUGCUGAAAGAGCCAACCCACGCGCCUGCGUAUAGGCUGGUUGAGAGGCCCACCUCUCCCUCAUUGGCGCUAGGCCUCAACUGAGUCAUUGCUUUGUCACCGCCUUUCCCAGCGUGAAGAGGAGCAGGCAGAGCGUGAUCAGAAAGGCCAGGCCAAUGAGAAAUCGAGGAGGGCAUCGGGGGCGCACGUGCUCAGAACUCUGAUUGGAGGAUGGAAGGCACCGGCCCGGGAAAGGACCAAUGGGAGGAUAUAUUUUGAUGUUAUUCCACUCCUCACCCUCUGUUCCCAGGAAGGUGGUUGUAGAGGUUCAAUGACAGUCAGAACUAGCCACAAGGAAUACAAGGGCUAAGCUGAAACCUGCUGCUCCACAUGUUGGAAAGGAAGAAGAAAAGUCAAACACUUAGAGAAAGCCUCCUCAAAUCAACAAAAAGGAGAGAAAAUAGAGAGAGGGGAAGAAACAGAAGAGCCUCUGUUUCAUAGUCUUCCAGGAAUAAGGAUAAAAAAAAAACAAACCUGACAUAGAACAUGCCUCCUGUCCUAUAAAAAUGAAAUGAAAGAAUGAGUUUAAGCCUUAUAUCUUCAAGGCCCAUUUGUUAGAUCC
rnacentral:lncRNA from 1 species